CCCUUAGAUGUUCUGGGCCGCACGCGCGCUACACUGAAGGGAUCAAAACGUUUUCCCUCUCCGAGAGGAGCGGGUAACCUUUCGAACCCCCUUCGUGGUAGGGAUCGGGGCUUGCAAUUAUUCCCCGUGAACCAGGAAUUCCCAGUAAGCGUCAGUCAUAAGCUGGCGUUGAUUACGUCCCUGCCCUUUGUACACACCGCCCGUCGCUCCUACCGAUUGAGUGGUCCGGUGAGGCUUUGGGAUCUGAGCGGAAAGAGCGUUUCGCUGUUUCUGCUCGGAAAACUCAGUCGAACCUUAUCAUUUAGAGGAAGGAGAAGUCGUAACA
rnacentral:rRNA from 1 species